rnacentral:lncRNA from 1 species
GGGAUAACUCUGACUGUAUUGACAAUUUAGCAAUUCCAAAGGUUGUUCUUAAGGAGAGGGCUCCUUGCUCUGCGACUUCUUCUCACGAUCAGCAGGUACCUUCAAUGCAAAAUUUUAAGACUGGCUUCUCUAGUCGCAAGCGAUUACUCCCUGUUGAAGAAGGAAAUCUUAAAAAGAACAUGAAAAUAAGUAAUAGUGAAGGUGAAACAUCAAAGAUGGAUGAUGACUUGUGCUCCACAGCUGUGUCGUCUUCAUCAAAGAAGCAGACA